rnacentral:rRNA from 1 species
GACGAACGCUGGCGGCGUGCUUAACACAUGCAAGUCGAACGGAAAGGCCUCUUUCGGUGGGUCCUCGAGUGGCGAACGGGUGAGUAACACGUGAGUAACCUGCCCUUGACUUUGGGAUAACUUCAGGAAACUGGGGCUAAUACCGGAUAGGAGCUCCUGCCGCAUGGUGGGGGUUGGAAAGUUUCGGCGGUUGGGGGUUGACUCGCGGCGUAGCAGCUUUUUGGUGGGGUAGUGGCUUACCCAGGCUUUGGCGGGUAGCCGUCCUGAGUGGGUGAGCGGCGACACUGGGACUGAGAUAAGGCCCAGACGCCUAAGAGAGGAAGAAGGGGGGAAGCUUGAACAAGGGAUGGAGGGCGGAUGCAGAAACCCUGCGUGCGGGAAGACGGUCUUCGGGUUGAAGAACGCUUUCGCUCAUGACGAAGCUUUGUGUGACGGUAGUGGGUAAAGAAGCACCGGCUAACUACGUG